rnacentral:misc_RNA from 1 species
AUGCAAGCGAUGGAAGCUUUUCCGUCGCACUUUGAGCAAAAUUUGCUGAAGGAGUCAUCCCAUUUAUAUUCCGAACCAUCAACUUCAAAACACCUGACCCCAAUUCCUAUGCCCAGAUCCCCGACACAACCACUUAGAGCGACGAGUUUAUUUUCCAAUGAGAUUCGAAGACUGAAAUUACAAUCUGAAGAUAUAAAUGAAGAAUCAGAAAGCUGCUCAUCUACUUCACCAAAAAGUUCAGUUGGUGGAAAUUCGGAUUCUUCAAAUCCACAAGUUGCAUCACAUUCAGGAGAAUAUAAGAAUUCAGAUGUGAAGCAGUAUUCCAGCCAACAACUCUACGUCGAAAGUCAGCAGAAGCCGAAGAUGCGAGAAGCACUAGUUUAACGGAAAGUGAAAAUAUUGGUCGUACCAGAACCGGGAGCAUGUCAGAAGAUCAUAAAAAGCCUUUCAAAAGUAUUCUUCGGAACUCUCCAUAUUUAUCGAAAGAAGAUAUUUCUCAAUCAAAUGAGAGCACGGCGAAUCGUCAAUUUCUCAAAAAUCGGGCGUCUUCAUUGACAAGAAAAGAGAAAGAUAUUUAUAAUGAUCGUACAGAACCGGGCAAUAAUGACGUCAUCGACAACUACUAUGCGAAAAAUUACUACACUGUUACAGGAAUAUACCAGAAGAACACAAAUUUCCCAAGAUAUGCUGGAUAUGGUGGAGAUAACGAUGAUGACGAUGAAGCAGUCAGAAGAAAUUACAACACAACAAAUAGUAAAAAGACAAUGUCAAUGGCCCAGAGUACUCGCAGUGUUCCAAUUGUUCCUGUUAAUAACAGAUUCCACAAGUCGUUCUAUUGGUUUGCACAUAACCACAAAAAGAUAGGAUUCCGUCACGUCUGCAUGCUUCUUCUUGUACUUUUGUACACACUUCUCGGUGCCGCUCUUUUCUUUUCAAUUGAAUCACGCCAUGAACACGAGACAAUGCAUUUCCACAAAAGAAAACUGGAUCGAAUAAUCUAUGAAAUCGCUCAAACCCUUGAACUUGAAGUGUUAGACCCAAUGAAACUAACAAAUAUCACCCAAAUGGAAUACUUUAUCACGCGUGCUUACGUCAAACUACUGAAUGCCGAAGAUUUGUACUCUGGAAGUACUUUUUAUAAGCAUGAGGAUCCAAAAAAUUUGAAAUGGACAUAUGGAUCUGCGUUCUUUUUUUCAAUGAAUGUUUACACUACUACGGGUUAUGGAUCCAUUGCUCCAUCAUCUUCUCUUGGAAAAGCUCUUGUAAUUGUUUAUGGUUUGAUAUUUGUGCCCUUAACAGCCGUGGUAAUUCGUGAUCUUGGACAGUGGGCACUUCUAUAUUUAACCAAAAUGUACACUAUUCUUAUCGAUAGUUUCCGUCGAGUCAGAGGAUUUGUUGAUAAGCUCGAUGAAGAUGAGAUUAUCACUCUUCCCAUCAAGUUUAGUGUUUCUGUAAUGAUAUUAUACUUACUCUCCGCUACAAUGUUUAUAUUCGAAUACGACGAACUGUCUGGACCACCUGAUUCUGGAAUUUCAUUUUUCCAUGCUUUCUACUUUUCAUUCAUUUCAAUGUCAACUAUCGGUUUAGGAGAUGUUAUGCCAAAUAAUGUAACAUUCUCUCCAUUAAUCACUAUUAUGUUUUUCUUUGGAAUGCCGAUUCUUAAAGUUGUCAAUAGAGUUACGUAUAUUUGUCUGGAAAAUGGAGUUUUUGGAUCGAUGACAGUGCUUGAAAAUCGACUAGAUACCAUUUGGAGCAAGGCAACAGUAUUACCAACAGGCCAAGUGAUUUCUGAGCCACCAACGAUAGAUGUUGCAAGUCGGAAAACGUCGAUGUUGAGUGAAGGAAUGAUUCCAGAUGAAAACGAUGGUUCGGUUCCAAAUGAAUACCUGAACAACUUCACAAUUCGUUCCAUUGCAACAUUCAUGAAAGCCAACGGAGAUGUAUACGGAGGUGCAUUUGGUCGUGUGAAUAUCCGUCGAGGUGACAUACGGAACCCAGGGUCUGCUGCUGAUAAUCAAGCAACUGUUCGAUCAACUUCCCAAAGAGAGAAUAAUGUUUAA